rnacentral:rRNA from 1 species
AACGAACGUUGGCGGCGUGGAUUAGGCAUGCAAGUCGAGGGAAUCCCAGCAAUGGGGGAACCGGCGUAAGGGGCAGUAAUGCGUGGGUAUCUACCCUGGGGUUCGGGAUAGCCCAUCGAGAGAUGGGGUAAUAUCGGCUGAUGUCGGGAGACCAAAGAUUUAUCGCCCUGGGAGGGGCCCACGUGAUAUUAGCUAGUUGGUGGGGUAAUGGCCCACCAAGGCGAAGAUGUCUAGCGGGUGUGAGAGCACGACCCGCGCCACUGGCACUGAGACACUGGCCAGACACCUACGGGUGGCUGCAGUCGAGGAUCCUCGGCAAUGGGGGCAACCCUGACCGAGCGACGCCGCGUGUGCGAUGAAGGCCUUCGGGUUGUAAAGCACUGUCGAGGGGGAGAAAAGCGCAAGCUUGAUCUAUCCCUGGAGGAAGCACGGGCUAAGUUCGUGCCAGCCGCCGCGGUAAGAC